GGUUUGCGGCCGGUGUUGGAUGUGGCGGCAGUGGUGGUGAGGGCGUGGGGAAGGGUGGGGUGAGGGGGCGAGGCCGCGGCGGGGGCGGCGAAAGUCUCCUCCGCUCAGCCCCACCGCGUGGGACGGCGCAAACGCGGUGCCGGAGGGAUGUCCGCUUUCUCCGAGGCGGCGCUGGAGAAGAAGCUGUCGGAGUUGAGCAACUCGCAGCAGAGCGUGCAGACCUUGUCCCUGUGGCUCAUCCACCAUCGCAAGCACUCGCGACCCAUCGUCACCGUGUGGGAGCGGGAGCUGCGGAAAGCCAAACCGAACAGGAAGCUUACUUUUCUCUACCUAGCUAAUGAUGUCAUUCAAAACAGCAAAAGGAAGGGGCCAGAGUUUACAAAAGAUUUUGCACCUGUUAUAGUGGAGGCUUUUAAGCAUGUUUCAAGUGAAACUGAUGAAAGUUGUAAGAAGCACCUUGGAAGAGUGCUGUCUAUUUGGGAAGAAAGGUCUGUGUAUGAAAAUGAUGUAUUAGAACAACUUAAGCAAGCUCUGUAUGGUGACAAGAAGCCCAGGAAGCGAACGUAUGAGCAGAUAAAGGUGGAUGAGAAUGAAAACUGUUCCUCUCUAGGAUCUCCAAGUGAACCACCACAGACUCUAGAUCUCGUUAGAGCAUUGCAAGAUCUAGAAAAUGCAGCUUCUGGUGAUGCAGCAGUUCAUCAAAGGAUAGCUUCUUUGCCUGUUGAAGUUCAAGAAGUGUCCCUUCUAGAUAAAAUAACAGAUAAAGAGUCUGGAGAAAGACUUUCUAAAAUGGUAGAGGAUGCUUGUAUGUUGCUGGCAGACUACAACGGCAGAUUGGCGGCUGAAAUAGAUGAUAGGAAGCAGCUCACUCGAAUGUUAGCAGAUUUUCUUCGUUGUCAAAAGGAAGCCCUUGCAGAGAAAGAGCAUAAAUUGGAAGAAUACAAGCGCAAGUUAGCCAGAGUUUCCCUGGUGCGCAAAGAACUCAGGUCCCGGAUCCAGAGCCUGCCGGACUUAUCUCGAUUGCCCAAUGUCACUGGCAGCCACAUGCACCUGCCCUUUGCGGGGGAUAUCUACAGUGAAGAUUGAUGACCAGUCUCUUUCCAGGGCCCAGGACUUUGCAAGAGAUGGAGACAGGUUAGGUGGAUAGUGCUGUAGUGUUAUUUUUGUAUAUUGUUGAGAGUGACAUUAACAAAAAGAAAUGACAGGUAAUUUAUAAAAUUGUUUAAAAUGUUGGUUUGUUUACUAUUUUAUUGGUAAGUUAACAUGACUUAGUUUAAACAAAGUGAAUCUCUAUGUGUAUUAAGCUCACAAGUAGUGAUUAUUUUCAAAAGAUCUUUUUGUAAAUUUUUUUGAUCCAGGGCCUUGUGAGAAAUUUCCAUGUUUCUAUUUCUUCAUGUAUUUUCAAAUGUUUUUCUUUAUUUUCUUCAGUAUCUAAUCAGUGUAUAGUAUGUGAUUCCUAAAGGGUAAGAACUAAUCAGGUUGGUUGAGACUUUAUUAUGGUAUAGUUAGGACUUGAUUGUAGAAGGGACUAGGUGUUCCAACUUGAUUUUCACCCUUCUCCUCAACCAAAACAUCAGUUCUGUGCCUCUCAACACCUUAGAUUCCUUAUUCCCCAGAGGUCGGUCAUUUAAUACUAAACAUGGAUGUUGUUUUGAGGGUCAGAUCAGAACCUGGAGAACCUUUCCACAACAGGGGUUCUGUCCAACAGCCACAGUGUAGGAUAAAAGGAGUGUUAUAUAGGGACCCCUUGAUUAAAAGCUGUUUAGAGUUAUUUAGGUAGAUAGCUAUGAAAAUGCUUUUGGAAAUGUUUAAAAAAAAUUUGACAUUGUACCAAGAGAACAACUCUGAUUCUGGAAUCUCUGUUUGUCAAAUCAAGCUCCUUUUAACAUAAUUGAUCCCUUUAACAUAAAAAGCCAUCUGUGGGAUUAAAA
rnacentral:lncRNA from 1 species